rnacentral:tRNA from 5 species
AAGAGUAUAAUUUAAUGGUAAAAUGUUGAGCUUCAACCUCAAUCUUCUCUGUUCGAGUCGGGGUACUCUUG